UGACCUCGGAUCAGGUAGGAAUACCCGCUGAACUUAAGCAUAUCAAUAAGCCGGAGGAAAAGGAUCAUUACCGAGUUUAAACUCCAAACCCUAUGAACAUACAAAUAGUUGCCUCGGCGAUCAGCCCCUCGGAAAAAGGGACGUCCGCCAGGAACAAACUUUUUUUCUAUAUGUAAAUUCCUGAGUAAAACCAUAAAUUAAUUCAAACUUUUCACAACGAACUUUGGUUUGAGGCAUCAAAAAACGCACCUCACUGCGAUUAGUAAUGUGAAUUGCACAAUCAGUGAAUCACCAAUUUUCUGAACGCAAUUGGCGCCGCCGUAAUUCUGGGGGGGCAUGCCUUUUCCAACGGCAGUCCACCUAGCAACUUUGGUUGGUGUGGACCUCACAUCUCAAUUGCGCUUCCCAUAAUAUUGUUGAGGAGCCGUAAAGUUUCCAUCCGUGAUGAUAAAAAAACCUAUUGUCGGGGAAAAGGCCCACCUCCGCCCUU
rnacentral:rRNA from 1 species